GAUGAACGCUGUCUACAGGCUUAACACAUGCAAGUCGAGGGGAAACGACGGGGAAGCUUGCUUCCCCGGGCGUCGACCGGCGCACGGGUGAGUAACGCGUAUCCAACCUGCCUCUGACUGAGGGAUAACCCGUCGAAAGUCGGCCUAAUACCUCAUGGCAUCGUCUGCGGGCAUCCAACGACGAUUAAAGAUUUCAUCGGUCAGGGAUGGGGAUGCGUCUGAUUAGCUUGUUGGCGGGGUAACGGCCCACCAAGGCUACGAUCAGUAGGGGUUCUGAGAGGAAGGUCCCCGACAUUGGAACUGAGACACGGUCCAAACUCCUACGGGAGGCAGCAGUGAGGAAUAGUGGUCAAUGGGCGGGAGCCUGAACCAGCCAAGUAGCGUGCAGGAGGACGGCCCUAUGGGUUGUAAACUGCUUUUAUGCGGGGAUAAAGUGAGGGACGUGUCCUUCAUUGCAGGUACCGCAUGAAUAAGGACCGGCUAAUUCCGUG
rnacentral:rRNA from 1 species